rnacentral:ncRNA from 1 species
ACAGAAAUGUUAAAGGGAGUAGAACAGAAAUGAUAUUUUCGCAAAAUUUAUUUCUGUCCUGCCCCAACUUGCACAUUAUUGUAAGCUGACUUUUCGCUAGCUUCUGUGUUGGGGCCCCGCCAACUUGCAUUGUCUGUAGAAAUUGCUGUUCCAAUUUCUCUGUGUUGGAGGCCUGCCAACUCGCACAUUAUUGUAAGCUGUAUUUUCGCCAGCUUCUGUGUUGGGGAUCCGCCAAUAUAACACUCUAGGGCCUACUAUAUUAAUUUAC